CGGGGCGUGGCUCAGAUGGUAGAGCGCUCGGUUCGGGACCGAGAGGCCGCCGGUUCGAUCCCGGCCGCCCCGA
rnacentral:tRNA from 1 species